rnacentral:rRNA from 1 species
ACGCGAGGAACCUUACCAGCCCUUGACAUGCCUCGGAAGUGGACGAGAGAUCGAUCACGCUCUUCGGAGCCGGGGACACAGGUGCUGCAUGGCUGUCGUCAGCUCGUGUCGUGAGAUGUUGGGUUAAGUCCCCGCAACGAGCGCAACCCUCGCCCCUUAGUUGCCAUCAUUCAGUUGGGCACUCUAGGGGGACUGCCGGUGAUAAGCCGGAGGAAGGUGGGGAUGACGUCAAGUCCUCAUGGCCCUUACG